rnacentral:tRNA from 1 species
UCCCUGGUGGUCUAGUGGUUAGGAUUCUGCACUUUCACUGCUGUGGCCCGGGUUCAAUCCCUGGUCAGGGAA